GGGGAAUCUUCCGCAAUGGGCGCAAGCCUGACGGAGCAAGACCGCGUGCGGGAGGACGGCCUAUUGGUUGUAAACCGCUUUUGAUAGGGAAGAAGCUCUGACGGUACCUAUCGAAUCAGCAUCGGCUAACUCCGUGCCAGCAGCCGCGGUAAUACGGAGGAUGCAAGCGUUAUCCGGAAUUAUUGGGCGUAAAGCGUCCGUAGGUGGUUGUUCAAGUCUGCUGUUAAAGCGUGCGGCUUAACCGCAUACCAGCAGUGGAAACUGGGCGACUAGAGUGCGGUAGGGGUCAGGGGAAUUCCCAGUGUAGCGGUGAAAUGCGUAGAUAUUGGGAAGAACACCAGCGGCGAAAGCGCGUGACUGGGCCUGAACUGACCCCUGAGGGACGAAAGCUAGGGGAGCGAAUGGGAUUAGAUACCCCAGUAGUC
rnacentral:rRNA from 1 species